rnacentral:rRNA from 1 species
GAUGAACGCUAGCGGCGUGCCUAAUACAUGCAAGUCGAACGCUGGAGAUCUAGCUUGCUAGAUCGAAGGAGUGGCGAACGGGUGAGUAAUACAUAAGCAACCUACCCACGAAGACUGGGAUAAUCUCUGGAAACGGGGACUAAUACCGGAUAGGUAAUCGGAAGGCAUCUUCUGGUUAUUAAAGGUUAAAAACACUGGUGGAUGGGCUUAUGGCGCAUUAGUUAGUUGGUGAGGUAACGGCCCACCAAGACGAUGAUGCGUAGCCGGCCUGAGAGGGUGAACGGCCACAUUGGGACUGAGACACGGCCCAGACUCCUACGGGAGGCAGCAGUAGGGAAUUUUCGGCAAUGGGGGCAACCCUGACCGAGCAACGCCGCGUGAGUGAAGACGGCCUUCGGGUUGUAAAGCUCUGUUGUAAGGGAAGAACGGUAGAUAGAGAAUAUCUAAGUGACGGUACCUUACCAGAAAGCCACGGCUAACUACGUG